GAUGAAGAACGUAGCGAAAUGCGAUAAGUAAUGCGAAUUGCAGAAUUCCAGUGAGUCAUCGAAUCUUUGAACGCACAUUGCGCCCUUUGGUAUUCCGAAGGGCAUGCCUGUUCGAGCGUCAUUAUCACCCCUCAAGCCCUCGGCUUGGUGUUGGACGGUUUGGUGGAGGCCCCCUCGGGGGCUCCUGCCCCUCCCAAAGACAAUGACGGCGGCCUCGUUGGACCCCCGGUACACUGAGUUCUUCACGGGACACGUAUCGGACACAUGGGUUUACGGGACACGGUCUGCCUCCCCUCAGGGAGAAUCUUUCUAAGGUUGACCUCGGAUCAGGUAGGGAUACCCGCUGAACUUAAGCAUAUCAAUAGCGGAGGA
rnacentral:misc_RNA from 1 species